ensembl:snRNA U6 U6 spliceosomal RNA
GUGCUCACUUUGGCAACACAUAUACUAAAAUUGGAAUGAUACAAAGAAGAUUAGCAUAGCCCCUGCACAAAGAUGACCACAAAUUCAUGAAGCAUUCCAUAUUUUU